CUAAAGGCCCUUUUCAGGGCCGCAAAAAAAAAAAAAAAUAAAAUA
rfam:TPA: Bos taurus chromosome 29, whole genome shotgun sequence.